GUUUAAUAGAAUGAAAAGAAAGAAAAAUGGACAUGUCAGCCAGGCUUCACAGGCUUUUGCCGGCUUGCUAUUCCAAAAAAGCAAAGAAACAAAAAAUAAUGAAACGAAAAAAAGAAAGAGAAACAGUUAGUGCAGCACAGGCACGACAUGGCACAAAAAAGCCCAGUCAGAGGGCAGACGCAAGGCCCGAGCCUUUCGGGAAGCGGAACAGGGCUGUGGUGACGGCCCACUGGGUAAGCCGAGGAACGGGACCAAGGAGGGUGGCCAUGGACAUUGUGUUGCACCCAAGCUGCAUUAGACGGCGACGGAGGGCUUGCUAUUGGGGAAGGUGCUGCUGGCAGUGCGGAAGAUAAUGAGAAAUGUCGGCCACCUCGCCACAGCCUGAGUCGGGAAUUGGCAUCUCCGUUGCGGAAGGCUAAGCGGCUAAACCGGUUCAGCUGCAAUGAUAUCCAGCAUAAGCAAGGUGGAGUUGCAACAGAGUAAGGUGAGUAAUUUCAUGUUAUUCAACAUUUUACUUCCCAACCGUGUAUAUAUGCAGUGAUCAGAUAUGUAUUGCUCAGUGCGUGUUCGGGUUGAUCCGCAUGUCAUUUGACACUUUUUCAGCAUCUUGGGAAAAUGCAAUAUUACGAAAUGCCAUUGUGUAAUACACGUAGACCACCAUGACGACUUUGGCACGUCCGAAGACUCCUCCUUAUCAGCAGCCGUCGCAGGUGAAUAUAGGAUCCACUUCGAAAAUGAAGAAAUAGGGUCAUAACAUAAGGGGAAUUGGUAAUCUAUCCGUCCUGCCAUGUGUUCCUCUGGGCAGAUAUUUCACACCGAGCGGAUAUUGGUGUGGCUUUUGAGUCACAGAGUACUGUGAACGUCAAGCCUUCAGAAGUUAUCCCCAUGGUGUUGUUCUGGUGAAUGUACGUUCAAUUUAUGUCCACGACAGUCUGCACCAUGCAAGUGCUCUGCAAUGUGAUGGAUGCAACGAUAGAGUCAUCUGUGUUGUGUCGUGUUCUCUUUCGUGUCUCCGUGCUCAGGCUUCUUCAAUAUGGGUGUACCAUUCGCAUUGGUAAGCACCAGUGCACAAUUCCAGUUGUGGCGUGGUAAUAAAAUGUUGUGGCCGGCAACAGUUGUCUUUA